UAUUAAAAUGCUGGAAACUGUCUAAACUUUGAGGAGGUAUGAGCUUUAUUGAUGAAAGUUUGAAAUUCUGGGCGAGAGGACACAAGGUGUGAGGUAGUGAUGAGGCUGCGAGUGACGUCCCCUUGGCGUUGCUAGGCACGCCUCCCAGCUGCCGGCAUGGAAAGGUCCAGAUUUUGACGGUCAACCUAUGUCAAGAUUUUUAUGGCUUCUUUCUCACAGGCUGGGCCAGGUAUGCACCAAAGCUUAAUGGCCACGGAAUGUUUGGGACUGAGCUACAGCGCUAGACGUUAACAUUGUCGCUUAUGGAAAAUUAAUGGGGGUCCGAGGCCUGUACUGACGAAGUCACCAAAAUGUGAAAAAUGUCACUAUGCGCUUAGAUUUCGCAGCAGCCUGAUAAUUUUUGAUGCCAAUGUGACACCCUUUGAUGUUACUGUGCAGAGUAAUAACCUGCUGUGAGACAACAGCAAUGGUGCAGGGAGGUUUUUGCAUGAUAAACAUCUUGUCUUUCCAAAACAGUUGACCUGAUGGAGAUAUCUCGAACGGUAUAUGCACUGCAAGGCUUCAAAGUUUACCCCUCAGAGUUUUUUCACCCUGGAAAAAAGACACAUGUUCAAGAUGGGGGUACCCCAACUUGAAUUCAUUCAACUCCAAAGUUUCUGCAUGUAUCAAGCCCUAAUUUUGCCUGUGAGGUUCAAAAGUGUCAGGAAUUGUGUGGUGCAAAAAUUAUUGAUUUUGAAAAAAGGUGGCUGGUGUGAUAGGACACAGACCCCCAUUACAACUUCCGUUUUUCGGUAGGGACGAUUGUAGUUCUGUGAAUUUUAGGGUAUAAAGUCUUUUUUUGCUCCCAGGCGUCAAUUUUUGGUGCACAGGUGCAUGCUUGGUAUUAAAAUGCUGGAAACUGUCUAAACUUUGAGGAGGUAUGAGCUUUAUUGAUGAAAGUUUGAAAUUCUGGGCGAGAGGACACAAGGUGUGAGGUAGUGAUGAGGCUGCGAGUGACGUCCCCUUGGCGUUGCUAGGCACGCCUCCCAGCUGCCGGCAUGGAAAGGUCCAGAUUUUGACGGUCAACCUAUGUCAAGAUUUUUAUGGCUUCUUUCUCACAGGCUGGGCCAGGUAUGCACCAAAGCUUAAUGGCCACGGAAUGUUUGGGACUGAGCUACAGCGCUAGACGUUAACAUUGUCGCUUAUGGAAAAUUAAUGGGGGUCCGAGGC